UUUUGGAGGUAGUUGUACCUGUCUAGGUUUUCUAUAUACUGAUGAAUGAAGAAUGCCAUUGAUGACAGUUAUUGUGCAAUCCAAGAAACUCACACAAUGAUUUGAAAAGUUAAUUUUAAGGUUUAUUGACGGGUGGAAUGAAUUUAAUGAUUUAUGGAAGUCUAUAAGGCUUUCUUCUCCUUCUGUCCAUGUUAUAAAAUUAUUGUAGACGUCAUGAUAAUUUGUAUAUAGUCUGUGGGCUGUGUACAUA